rnacentral:rRNA from 1 species
UACGUAGGUGGCAAGCGUUGUCCGGAUUUAUUGGGUUUAAAGGGUGCGUAGGCGGUCCUAUAAGUCAGUGCUGAAAUAUCCCGGCUUAACCGGGAGGGUGGCAUUGAUACUGCAGGACUUGAGUAAAGUUGAGGUAGGCGGAAGUGACGGUGUAGCGGUGAAAUGCUUAGAUAUCGUCAAGAACACCGAUAGUGAAGACAGCUUACUAAACUUUAACUGACGCUGAGGCACGAAAGUGUGGGGAUCAAACAGG